CAGAAAAUAGUUUAGUGCAGAAUGCCAGCUUUGGGAGCUGGUGGUGAGGGUUUGACUCCCUCUUUUCUGA
rnacentral:tRNA from 1 species